rnacentral:rRNA from 1 species
CCCUUAGAUGUUCUGGGCCGCACGCGCGCUACACUGACAGGGCCAGCGAGUACAUCACCUUAACCGAGAGGUUUGGGUAAUCUUGUUAAACCCUGUCGUGCUGGGGAUAGAGCAUUGCAAUUAUUGCUCUUCAACGAGGAAUGCCUAGUAGGCACGAGUCAUCAGCUCGUGCCGAUUACGUCCCUGCCCUUUGUACACACCGCCCGUCGCUACUACCGAUUGAAUGGCUCAGUGAGGCCUUGGGAUUGGCUUAGGAGGGGUGGCAACGACCCCCCAGAGCCGAAAACUUGGUCAAACUCGGUCAUUUAGAGGAAGUAAAAGUCGUAACA